UCAGGCCUAACACAUGCAAGUCGAGCGGUAACAGGGGUAGCUUGCUACCCGCUGACGAGCGGCGGACGGGUGAGUAACGCGUGGGAACAUGCCCGGUAGAGGGGGAUAGCCCGAGGAAACUCGGAUUAAUACCGCAUACGCCCUGAGGGGGAAAGGUGGCCUCUAUUUAUAAGCUACCACUAUCGGAGUGGCCCGCGUGAGAUUAGCUAGUUGGUGGGGUAAAGGCUCACCAAGGCGACGAUCUCUAGCUGGUCUGAGAGGGUGAUCAGCCACACUGGAACUGAGACACGAUCCAGACUCCUACGGGAGGCAGCAGUGGGGAAUAUUGGACAAUGGGGGCAACCCUGAUCCAGCCAUGCCGCGUGUGUGAAGAAGGCUCUAGGGUUGUAAAGCACUUUAAGUUGUGAGGAAAGCAUUAUUGCGAAUAGUGAUGAUGUGUGACGUUAGCAACAGAACAAGCACCGGCAAACUCCGUGCCAGCAGCCGCGGUAAUACGGAGGGUGCGAGCGUUAAUCGGAUUUACUGGGCGUAAAGCGAGCGUAGGCGGUGGUGUAAGUUGGAUGUGAAAGCCCGGGGCUUAACCCCGGAACUGCAUCCAAAACUGUAUCACUAGAGUAUGGUAGAGGGAGGUAGAAUUUCCGGUGUAGCGGUGAAUUGCGUAGAGAUCGGAAGGAAUACCAGUGGGGAAAGCGGCCUCCUG
rnacentral:rRNA from 1 species